AAAUUGAAGAGUUUGAUCAUGGCUCAGAUUGAACGCUGGCGGCAGGCCUAACACAUGCAAGUCGAACGGUAACAGGAAGCAGCUUGCUGCUUCGCUGACGAGUGGCGGACGGGUGAGUAAUGUCUGGGAAACUGCCUGAUGGAGGGGGAUAACUACUGGAAACGGUGGCUAAUACCGCAUAACGUCGCAAGAUCAAAGAGGGGGACCUUCGGGCCUCUUGCCAUCAGAUGUGCCCAGAUGGGAUUAGCU
rnacentral:rRNA from 1 species